rnacentral:piRNA from 1 species
GGGUGUCUCAAUAUAUUGCCUGUACC